rnacentral:rRNA from 1 species
UACGUAGGCAGCAAGCGUUGUUCGGAGUUACUGGGCGUAAAGGGUGCGUAGGCGGUCCUAUAAGUAUGGUGUGAAAUCUCCCGGCUUAACUGGGAGGGUGCGCUAUAGACUGUGGGACUAGAGUGUGGGAGAGGAAAGUGGAAUUCCUGGUGUAGCGGUGAAAUGCGUAGAUAUCAGGAGGAACACCGGUGGUGUAAACGGCUUUCUGGACCAUAACUGACGCUGGAGGCACGAAAGCGUGGGUAGCAAACAGG